rnacentral:lncRNA from 1 species
AAUCAUCAUGGUCCCUGUUGAUAUUCACCCGACACAUAAUUAAGUGUUAUCAAUUCUCUCUCUCGCAAACAAGGUCCAACACAAUUGGUAGAUAAUUAGGUUUUUUAAGCAAUCGAUUCCCUGGCCGUGUAUAUCGUUAUAUGGUGAAAACUUUGUUGGAAAAAACAAAACUUCAGAGGAAUUUACAUAUCACUCACCAUUAUCAAAUGAAAUCUGAAAAUCAAACCCAAAUCACACUUAGAAUGAGUGAAAUACUCUUAUUUUAAUUAUUCAUUUACAGACUCUUAUUUUUUGGUAGUGAAAUGUUUAGAUUAGGGAAGGAAC